rnacentral:rRNA from 1 species
CCUACGGGAGACAGCAGUGAGGAAUAUUGGUCAAUGGACGAGAGUCUGAACCAGCCAAGUAGCGUGAAGGAUGACUGCCCUAUGGGUUGUAAACCUCUUUUAUAUGGGAAUAAAAUGUUCCACGUGUGGGAUUUUGUAUGUACCAUAUGAAUAAGGAUCGGCUAACUCCGUGCCAGCAGCCGCGGUAAUACGGAGGAUCCGAGCGUUAUCCGGAUUUAUUGGGUUUAAAGGGAGCGUAGGUGGAUUGUUAAGUCAGUUGUGAAAGUUUGCGGCUCAACCGUAAAAUUGCAGUUGAAACUGGCAGUCUUGAGUACAGUAGAGGUGGGCGGAAUUCGUGGUGUAGCGGUGAAAUGCUUAGAUAUCACGAAGAACUCCGAUUGCGAAGGCAGUUCACUGGACUGCAACUGACACUGAGGCUCGAAAGUGUGGGUAUCAAACAGGAUUAGAUACCCGAGUAGUC